UUCCAUGGGAAACAUAUACCUUCAAUGCAUACUACUGGAUCAGGAAGGGACAAAAAUGGAAGCCAUUGCGUUCAACAAUCAAGUUGUUCGUUUCAACACCAUUCUUCAAACCGGCAUGUCCUAUGAAUUCACUCGUGUAGGAUUUAACCCCACUGAAAUGGCAGUUGUACAUUUCUUGUAUCUAGACAUGGAGUUUAUCAUGACACUAGAUAGUAGGACUGUGGUUAUGAUUUCGGCGCACAGGAUAUCAACGGCAAUUUGUCCAUUGUGUUUCCCACAAUUUGGGGCCAUCUACUCACUACAAGACAAACGCAUAACUGGUGCAUUUUUUAUCUUUGUUCUUGCAUAUUUUGUUAUAGAACUCAGGGUCUCAUUCUGAUUAAAUCUUCGCAGAUGUUAUUGCUAUUGUUGCCUAUGUUAGUAAGAUACAAACUCUAUGGGAUCCAAUAUAUGAUAGACAUGUCCCUUUGCUCGAAAUUGGCCUCAUGAACUUUCGACGUCAGAUAAUUUUCCUACGCAUAUAUGACGAGCACGUUGGCCGUCAA